UCAAAAGAGAAAAAUGAAUGUCGGUUCUUCGGGGCCUUUUGUUCUGUUUUCCGUUGAGGGUUAGUUUUAUGGAUUUGUUCUAAAAUUUUGCAAGUGAAGUUAUUUUGGAUGACUUUUUAUUCUAUUAUGAAUUGUAGUUAACUUGGUGCAGGGUUUUAUCCAUGGUCAGCCAUGUCUGUUAUGGGUUUUGUUUCUGGUUUAGAAUUGGUGUGGCAGGGAAGUUAAAUGGGGAGUCUGUGCUAUUUCUUCAUCAGAAGCAACAAAGUAACCAAGUGGUGGAUAUGUGAAAAUCAUGGAAACUGGAAAGGUGUAACAACUAGAUGGCCUGAAACAUCUAUGGCAGAAGAAUGUUGGGGUUUAUCACUCUCCAAAGCCAUGAUUGGCAAAACCAAAUUGAGACUUUGUAUCUGGCAUAACUGGCUGCAGGGUUAAACGGGCGGGGUUGUUGUUGCAAGGAACCAUGCAUUUGUUGGAGUUGCUAGCCAUGAAAUCGGAUUUUGAUGGAAGUAACUCAUGUUGGAUUGUAUUCGUAUGGUUUAUGCUUUGUAAUCACUUUAGUUUUGGAAUGUAUUGAAUGUUGGGAAGUAUUGUAAUGUAAUGUUGGAAAGUAUUGUUGAAUAUUUUUGUUUAUGAAAUUGGAAAUGAAUGAAUAUAUGGUUUGAAUCGGAUUA